rnacentral:rRNA from 1 species
UGGCGGCACGCCUAAACAUGCAAGUCGAACGAAGUAGCAAUACUUAGUGGCAGACGGGUGAGUAACAUGUAGGUAUCUGCCCUUUGGCCUGGAAUAACACGAGGAAACUUGUGCUAAUACCGGAUAAGUCUUUACGGAGAAAGCUUUAUGCACCAUUGGAUGAGCCUGCACUUGAUUAGUUUGUUGGUGGGGUAAUGGCCUACCAAGACUGUGAUCAAUAGCUGAUUUGAGAGGAUGAUCAGCCACAUUGGGACUGAGACACGGCCCAAACUCCUACGGGAGGCAGCAGUGGGGAAUCUUGCACAAUGGAGGAAACUCUGAUGCAGCGAUGCCGCGUGAGUGAAGAAGGCCCUUGGGUUGUAAAGCUCUUUCGUCGGGGAAGAAAAUGACUGUACCCGAAUAAGAAGGUCCGGCUA